rnacentral:rRNA from 1 species
GUGGGGAAUUUUGGACAAUGGGCGCAAGCCUGAUCCAGCAAUGCCGCGUGCAGGAAGAAGGCCUUCGGGUUGUAAACUGCUUUUGUACGGAACGAAACGGUCCUGGCUAAUACCCGGGGCUAAUGACGGUACCGUAAGAAUAAGCACCGGCUAACUACGUGCCAGCAGCCGCGGUAAUACGUAGGGUGCGAGCGUUAAUCGGAAUUACUGGGCGUAAAGCGUGCGCAGGCGGUGCUGUAAGACAGGCGUGAAAUCCCCGGGCUCAACCUGGGAAUUGCGCUUGUGACUGCAGUGCUGGAGUGCGGCAGAGGGGAAUGGAAUUCCGCGUGUAGCAGUGAAAUGCGUAGAUAUGCGGAGGAACACCGAUGGCGAAGGCAAUCCCCUGGGCCUGCACUGACGCUCAUGCACGAAAGCGUGGGGAGCAAACAGGAUUAGAAACCCUUGUAGUCC